UGAUACUUGUAAAAUAAAGCAUACUUGC
rnacentral:sRNA from 1 species